AAUAGAUACCCUGGUAGUCCUAGCCGUAAACGAUACUCGCUAGGUGUCGGCCACGGUGCGACCGUUGUCGGUGCCGUAGGGAAGCCGUGAAGCGAGCCACCUGGGAAGUACGGCCGCAAGGCUGAAACUUAAAGGAAUUGGCGGGGGAGCACCACAACGGGUGGAGCUUGCGGUUUAAUUGGAUUCAACGCCGGAAAUCUUACCGGGACCGACAGCAAUAUGAAGGCCAGGCUGAAGACUUUGCCGGAUUAGCUGAGAGGUGGUGCAUGGCCGUCGUCAGUUCGUACUGUGAAGCAUCCUGUUAAGUCAGGCAACGAGCGAGACCCACGCCCACAGUUGCCAGCGUACUCUCUGGAGUGACGGGUACACUGUGGGGACCGCCGCUGCUAAAGCGGAGGAAGGAAUGGGCAACGGUAGGUCAGUAUGCCCCGAAUAUCCCGGGCUACACGCGAGCUACAAUGGUUGGUACAAUGGGUAUCUACCCCGAAAGGGGACGGGAAUCUCCUAAAACCAAUCUUAGUUCGGAUUGAGGGCUGCAACUCGCCCUCA
rnacentral:rRNA from 1 species